rnacentral:rRNA from 1 species
UAUGUCUGUGAGCGGCACACUGCUCAGUAACACGUAGCUAACCUACCCUUAGGACGUGGACAACCCCGAGAAAUUGGGGCUAAUCCGCGAUAGAUGUAUUGUCCUGGAAUGGUAUUACGUCUAAAGGUAUCCCAUACAUGUUUGGUAUAUGCCUAAGGAUGGGGCUGCGGCCGAUCAGGCUGUUGGUGAGGUAAUGGCUCACCAAACCUUUGACCGGUACGGGCCAUGAGAGUGGUAGCCCGGAGAUGGACACUGAGACAAGGGUCCAGGCCUUACGGGGCGCAGCAGGCGCGAAACCUCCUCAAUGCACUUACGUGCGAAGGGGCUACCUCGAGUGCCACCUGAUGAAGGUGGCUUUUCCUAGGUCUAAAAAGCCUUGGGAAUAAGAGGGGGGCAAGACUGGUGUCAGCCGCCGCGGUAACACCAGCCCCUCGAGUGGUGGGGAUGAUUAUUGGGCCUAAAGCGUCCGUAGCCUGCCGUGUAAGUUUCCCGUUAAAUCCAGCGUCUUAAGCGUUGGACCGCGGGAAAUACUGUACGGCUAGAGAGUGGGAGAGGUCAGCGGUAUUCUGGGGGUAGGGGCGAAAUCCUUUGAUCCCCGGAGGACCACCAGUGGCGAAGGCUGCUGUCUAGAACACGUCUGACGGUCAGGGACGAAAGCUGGGGUAGCGAACCGGAUUAGAUACCCGGGUAGUCCCAGCCGUAAACGAUGCAUGCUAGGUGUUGGGUUGGCCACGAGCCACCCCAGUGCCGCAGGGAAGCCGUUAAGCAUGCCGCCUGGGAAGUACGAUCGCAAGGUUGAAACUUAAAGGAAUUGGCGGGGGAGCACCACCAGGCGUGAAGCCUGCGGUUUAAUUGGA